rnacentral:rRNA from 1 species
AGUGAACGCUGGCGGUAGGCCUAACACAUGCAAGUCGAACGGCAGCACAGUAAGAGCUUGCUCUUACGGGUGGCGAGUGGCGGACGGGUGAGGAAUACAUCGGAAUCUACUUUUUCGUGGGGGAUAACGUAGGGAAACUUACGCUAAUACCGCAUACGACCUACGGGUGAAAGCAGGGGAUCUUCGGACCUUGCGCGAUUGAAUGAGCCGAUGUCGGAUUAGCUAGUUGGCUGGGUAAAGGCCCACCAAGGCGACGAUCCGUAGCUGGUCUGAGAGGAUGAUCAGCCACACUGGAACUGAGACACGGUCCAGACUCCUACGGGAGGCAGCAGUGGGGAAUAUUGGACAAUGGGCGAAAGCCUGAUCCAGCCAUACCGCGUGGGUGAAGAAGGCCUUCGGGUUGUAAAGCCCUUUUGUUGGGAAAGAAAAGCAGCAGGUUAAUACCCCGCUGUUCUGACGGUACCCAAAGAAUAAGCACCGGCUAACUUCGUG